UACGGAGGGUGCAAGCGUUAUCCGGAUUUACUGGGUUUAAAGGGUGCGUAGGUGGACAGGAAAGUCAGUGGUGAAAUCUUCGAGCUUAACUCGGAAACUGCCAUUGAUACUAUUUGUCUUGAAUACUUUGGAGGUAAGCGGAAUAUGUCAUGUAGCGGUGAAAUGCUUAGAUAUGACAUAGAACACCAAUUGCGAAGGCAGCUUACUAAAGUAUAACUGACGCUGAGGCACGAAAGUGCGGGGAUCAAACAGG
rnacentral:rRNA from 1 species